GGGGGGCCUACGGGAGGCAGCAGUGGGGAAUCUUAGACAAUGGGCGCAAGCCUGAUCUAGCCAUGCCGCGUGAGUGACGAAGGCCUUAGGGUAGUAAAGCUCUUUCACCAGAGAUGAUAAUGACAGUAUCUGGAGAAGAAACCCCGGCUAACUCCGUGCCAGCAGCCGCGGUAAUACGGAGGGGGUUAGCGUUAUUCGGAAUUACUGGGCGUAAAGCGCACGUAGGCGGAUUGGAAAGUAAGGGGUGAAAUCCCAGGGCUCAACCCUGGAACGGCCUUGUAAACUCCCAGUCUAGAGUUCGAGAGAGGUGAGUGGAAUUCCAAGUGUAGAGGUGAAAUUCGUAGAUAUUUGGAGGAACACCAGUGGCGAAGGCGGCUCACUGGCUCGAUACUGACGCUGAGGUGCGAAAGUGUGGGGAGCAAACAGGAUUAGAUACCCUGGUAGUCCACACCGUAAAC
rnacentral:rRNA from 1 species